GUGAUAUCCACAUCAUGGGUACUACCAAGAUUUUCCUGCUCCUUCUCUCAGUGGCCCUGUUGGCCCUGAGCUCAGCUCAAGGAACACCCAAGGAAGCCCCAAGACAGCAACCUGCUGAACCUGAACCAGGGGAUUUCCUGGAUAAAAAUUUCAAGCAGCCCCAAGGCAACAAACUAGGAAAAGUAAAGACGCAGAAGAGCCAGGCGACCCACCUGAAGGAGAACCAGGCGAACCACCUGAAGGCGAACCACCUGAAGGCGAACCACCUGAAGGAGAACCAGGCGAACCACCUGAAGGAGAACCAGGUGCACCACCUGAAGGUAAGUAAUAUGUCUAUCUCUAAACACUCCUUUCUUUCCCCGUUCCUUGAGGACCCUAGACCUUGUCUCUCAUUUGAAACCAUUUGGCACAUCCACUCUUAAAGUUCAGUACCAAGAAAGAGAGGGUAAUAAUGAACUAAGAGGGUGGUCAGCUUAAAAGGCUUUGUUUUCUCUUGCCAUUGCAUAGCUCUCAUAUUUCCACCAGAGAUUUUUCCAGAUCAAAAAUUCAAAAUUAUUUUGCCAUCUUUUCCCAAAGCAUAGUUUGCUUUUUUCCAUUGCCUAAUAUCCUAGAUCAAACAUUUCAAGAUCACUUUGUAAUAUUUAAUGCAAUGUUCUCUUCAUGUCUCUGCAGUGUGGGUAUUUCUCUCUCUCUUUCUCUGUGUUUUCACAGUCCCUCUGUGUCUGGUCUUUCUCUGAAUUGAUAUCUUUAUCUCUCUGUCUCUGUCUCGCUUUUUCUCUGCCUUUGUCUCUCCCUCUGUCUCUCUCUCUUUCACACACACACACACACACACACACACACACCCAUACACACACACAUAUUCUCUGUAUCUCUCUCUCUCCCUUGUACUUUCACCUUUGAAAAAGUGAAAUUUCAGAAAGCAAAAGAGGAAAAGAAGGAAAUGUAAUAUUAGCAAUUCAAACAGACAAAUGCGUAUUGAAAAUAUUUGUACCUAAAACACAAAAUUAAGAAAUAUUACAUCCUGGACAUAAUUUCCCCCUUUACACAAAGGCUCUUCACUUCUUCUAAGGAAGGAGCCAUC
rnacentral:lncRNA from 1 species